UACAGAGGUCCCAAGCGUUGUUCGGAUUCACGGGGCGUAAAGGGUGCGUAGGCGGCGCGGUAAGUCGGGUGUGAAAUCUCGGAGCUUAACUCCGAAACUGCAUUCGAUACUGCCGUGCUUGAGGACUGGAGAGGAGACUGGAAUUUACGGUGUAGCGGUGAAAUGCGUAGAUAUCGUAAGGAAGACCAGUGGCGAAGGCGGGUCUCUGGACAGUUCCUGACGCUGAGGCACGAAGGUCAGGGGAGCAAACGGG
rnacentral:rRNA from 1 species